rnacentral:rRNA from 1 species
CACCUCUAGCAUCGCUAGUAUUAGAGGCACUGCCUGCCCAGUGACACUAGUUUAACGGCCGCGGUAUCCUGACCGUGCAAAGGUAGCAUAAUCAUUUGUUCCUUAAUUAGGGACUUGUAUGAAUGGCCCCACGAGGGUUUAACUGUCUCUUACUUUUAAUCAGUGAAAUUGACCUCCCCGUGAAGAGGCGGGGAUGUAAAAAUAAGACGAGAAGACCCUAUGGAGCUUAAAUUAAGAUGUCCAACAAAACUCAAACCUAAACCAACAGGCAUAAUAUUAUUUUAACUGGACAGCAAAUUUUGGUUGGGGUGACCUCGGAGUAUAACAAAACCUCCGAGAAAUUUAAACCAAGACUUACCCGUCAAGGUAAUACACUUUAUUGAUCCAAUCAUAUUGAUCAACGAAACAAGUUACCCUAGGGAUAACAGCGCAAUCCUAUUCAAGAGUUCAUAUCGACAAUAGGGUUUACGACCUCGAUGUUGGAUCAGGACAUCCAAAUGGUGCAGCAGCUAUUAAAGGUUCGUUUGUUCAA